rnacentral:rRNA from 1 species
AUUGAACGCUGGCGGCAAGCCUAACACAUGCAAGUCGAACGAGUGGCGGACGGGUGAGUAAUGUCUGGGAAACUGCCUGAUGGGGGGGGAUAACUACUGGAAACGGUAGCUAAUACCGCAUACCAUCGGAUGUGCCCAGAUGGGAUGAGCUAGUGGGUGGGGUAAAGGCUCACCUAGGCGACGAUCCCUAUCUGGUCUGAGAGGAUGCCCAGCCAUACGGGAACUGAGACACGGUCCAGCCGCCUACGGGAGGCAGCAGUGGGGAAUAUGGCACAAUGGGCGCAAGCCUGAUGCAGCCAUGCCGCGUGUAUGAAGAAGGCCUUCGGGUUGUAAAGUACUUUCAGCGGUGAGGCGUUACCAGCAGAAGAAGCACCGGCUAACUCCGUGCCAGCAGCCGCGGUAAUAC